rnacentral:rRNA from 1 species
GACGAACGCUGGCGGCGUGCUUAACACAUGCAAGUCGAACGGAAAGGCCCUGCUUUUGUGGGGUGCUCGAGUGGCGAACGGGUGAGUAACACGUGAGUAACCUGCCCUUGACUUUGGGAUAACUUCAGGAAACUGGGGCUAAUACCGGAUAGGAGCUCCUGCUGCAUGGUGGGGGUUGGAAAGUUUCGGCGGUUGGGGAUGGACUCGCGGCUUAUCAGCUUGUUGGUGGGGUAGUGGCUUACCAAGGCUUUGACGGGUAGCCGGCCUGAGAGGGUGACCGGGCACAAUGGGACUGAGAUAAGGCCCAGACUCCAACGGGAGGCAGCAGUGGGGAAUAUUGCACAAUGGGCGGAAGCCUGAUGCAGCAACGCCGCGUGCGGGAUGACGGCCUUCGGGUUGUAAACCGCUUUCGCCUGUGACGAAGCGUGAGUGACGGUAAUGGGUAAAGAAGCACCGGCUAACUACGUG